rnacentral:rRNA from 1 species
UACGAAGGGGGCUAGCGUUGCUCGGAAUCACUGGGCGUAAAGCGCACGUAGGCGGAUUGCUAAGUCAGGGGUGAAAUCCUGGAGCUCAACUCCAGAACUGCCUUUGAUACUGGCGAUCUUGAGUCCGGGAGAGGUGAGUGGAAUUGCGAGUGUAGAGGUGAAAUUCGUAGAUAUUCGCAAGAACACCAGUGGCGAAGGCGGCUCACUGGCCCGGUACUGACGCUGAGGUGCGAAAGCGUGGGGAGCAAACAGG